GCCCUCGUAGCUCAGGGGAUAGAGCAUCGGCCUCCGGAGCCGUGUGCGCAGGUUCGAAUCCUGCCGAGGGCACCA
rnacentral:tRNA from 6 species